rnacentral:rRNA from 1 species
CAGUAGCCGCGGUAAAACGUAGGGUGCAAGCGUUAAUCGGAAUUACUGGGCGUAAAGCGUGCGCAGGCGGUUUGUUAAGACAGAUGUGAAAUCCCCGGGCUCAACCUGAGAACUGCAUUUGUGACUGGCAAGCUAGAGUAUGGCAGAGGGGGGUGGAAUUCCGCGUGUAGCAGUGAAAUGCGUAGAUAUGCGGAGGAACACCGAUGGCGAAGGCAGCCCCCUGGGCCAAUACUGACGCUCAUGCACGAAAGCGUGGGGAGCAAACAGGAUUAGAUACCCGGGUAGUCCCUGUCUCUUAUAC